GACGAACGCUGGCGGCGUGCUUAACACAUGCAAGUCGAACGGUAAGGCCUUUCGGGGUACACGAGUGGCGAACGGGUGAGUAACACGUGGGUGACCUGCCUCGAGCUCUGGGAUAAGCCUGGGAAACUGGGUCUAAUACCGGAUAUGACCUUCUCUCGCAUGGGGGUUGGUGGAAAGUUUUUCGGCUCGAGAUGGGCCCGCGGCCUAUCAGCUUGUUGGUGGGGUGAUGGCCCACCAAGGCGA
rnacentral:rRNA from 1 species